AGCGAACGCUGGCGGCAGGCCUAACACAUGCAAGUCGAACGGAUCCUUCGGGAUUAGUGGCGGACGAGUGAGUAACACGUGGGAACGUGCCCUUUGGUUCGGAACAACCCAGGGAAACUUGAGCUAAUACCGGAUGUGCCCUUCGGGGGAAAGAUUUAUCGCCAUUGGAGCGGCCCGCGUCUGAUUAGCUAGUUGGUGAGGUAACGGCCCACCAAGGCGACGAUCGGUAGCUGGUGUGAGAGGAUGAUCAGCCACACUGGGAAUGAGACACGGCCCAGACUCCUACGGGAGGCAGCAGUGGGGAAUCUUGCGCAAUGGGCGAAAGCCUGACGCAGCCAUGCCGCGUGAAUGAUGAAGGUCUUAGGAUUGUAAAAUUCUUUCAGCGGGGACGAUAAUGACGGUACCCGCAGAAGAAGCUCCGGCUAACUUCGUG
rnacentral:rRNA from 1 species